rnacentral:rRNA from 1 species
UCUUCACAAUGGACGAAAGUCUGAUGGAGCAACGCCGCGUGAGUGAAGAAGGUUUUCGGAUCGUAAAACUCUGUUGUUGGAGAAGAACGUAUUUGAUAGUAACUGAUCAGGUAGUGACGGUAUCCAACCAGAAAGCCACGGCUAACUACGUGCCAGCAGCCGCGGUAAUACGUAGGUGGCAAGCGUUGUCCGGAUUUAUUGGGCGUAAAGCGAGCGCAGGCGGUUUCUUAAGUCUGAUGUGAAAGCCUUCGGCUCAACCGAAGAAGUGCAUCGGAAACUGGGAAACUUGAGUGCAGAAGAGGACAGUGGAACUCCAUGUGUAGCGGUGAAAUGCGUAGAUAUAUGGAAGAACACCAGUGGCGAAGGCGGCUGUCUGGUCUGUAACUGACGCUGAGGCUCGAAAGCAUGGGUAGCAAACAGGAUUAGAUACCCUGGUAGUCCAUGCCGUAAACGAUGAGUGCUAGGUGUUGGAGGGUUUCCGCCCUUCAGUGCCGCAGCUAACGCAUUAAGCACUCCGCCUGGGGAGUACGACCGCAAGGUUGAAACUCAAAGGAAUUGACGGGGCCCCC